UACAGAGGGUGCGAGCGUUAAUCGGAUUUACUAGGCGUAAAGCGUGUGUAGGUGGCUUCCUAAGUCGAUUGUGAAAUCCCUGGGCUCAACCUGGGAAUUGCAGUCGAUACUGGGGAGCUCGAGUUCGGUAGAGGACGGCGGAAUUCCCGGUGUAGCGGUGAAAUGCGUAGAUAUCGGGAGGAACAUCGAUGGCGAAAGCAACCGUCUGGGCCUGAACUGACACUGAGACACGAAAGCGUGGGGAGCGAACAGG
rnacentral:rRNA from 1 species